GAUGAACGCUAGCGGCAGGCCUAACACAUGCAAGUCGAGGGAGAAGCCUUCGGGCUGAAACCGGCGCACGGGUGCGUAACGCGUAUACAAUCUGCCUUUCACAUAGGGAUAGCCCGAAGAAAUUUGGAUUAAUACCUAAUGGUAUAUAGGAGCGGCAUCGUUUUUAUAUUAAAGCUACGGUGGUGAAAGAUGAGUAUGCGUUCUAUUAGCUAGUUGGAGAGGUAACGGCUCCCCAAGGCGACGAUAGAUAGGGGUUCUGAGAGGGAUGUCCCCCACACUGGUACUGAGAUACGGACCAGACUCCUACGGGAGGCAGCAGUGAGGAAUAUUGGACAAUGGUCGGAAGACUGAUCCAGCCAUGCCGCGUGCAGGAUGAAGGUCCUAUGGAUUGUAAACUGCUUUUGUAAGGGAAGAAUAAGGGGUACGUG
rnacentral:rRNA from 1 species